rnacentral:lncRNA from 1 species
CGAUGAAAUAAUGCGUAUUAUUAGCGUGCCUCAGCUCGUCCAUUACGCAACGGCAUGUAUGCUGGAUCAACAUCGUCGACGCAGCACUGGCAACUCGGAGAGCUCUUUUCCAUCUCAUCGUACUGUUCGAAAGUGGCGAGACCUUGGCCAGCAACAGUGUCCACUAAAAGGAGGAGCGCCCAGAAAUGCAGACCCCAUACGAGUGCCUGCAGCAGCAUGGCUGGAUGCUCAUGUCAGGCUUCACCGUGGCAGAGUACCAGGCGGAAC